rnacentral:lncRNA from 1 species
CAGAAUUCUGAUAAUCCUGGCCUUUGAGACGGGGGCUAUAUUUAUUGGUGUCUUCUCUCAACUGACUCAGUCACAGCUAAACAAGUAGUCUUGUCUGAGAAGCCACUGAUCUCUGAGGAGACAGAUCUUAUUGAGCUAACUCUACUGGAGAGCUCAUGUGCCACAUUGGUUCUUUGGCCUCUGUGUAUCAUAAGCCUCCAAAUAUUUUUGUGGAAGGAAGUCAUGGAAUCCAUUGUAAAUAGUUGCCAAUUCAUCAUGGGAGUACUGAUUCAGGUGACAGCCCUGUUGGUACCACUGCAACUAACCUGAAACAGCCUCAGGUUAUCCCCUCAUAAGGUAAUCUUCUCAGGGGUCUUUUAAACCUUGACCUCAGUCAACCAGUCAAUGUGCCACAGGUGUCCUCCAUGCAGAUGGGAGCAGUGGAUCUCUUGGGAGGAGGAUAAGAUAGUCUGGUGGGACAAUCCUUCAUCCUAUGAUGGGUGUCUGCAACCUUUGUUUCUUCAUCUACACCUGCUGUGGUCAGCAGUGGACUGAAUGACCUGUUUGAACUCUCCACAGGGAUAGGCAUGGCACCUGGUGGGUAUGUGGCUCCUAAGGCUAUUUCUGGCUACCUGCAUUACAGGAUAAAGGCUUAGAGAUUUCAGGAACAUUGAGUCACCACCAAGGGCACAUCUAUAUGGAAAUGAACUUCACCAAUACAGCUCUGCAGCAUAUGACAGAUUUUGUAAUCUAGUUUAACAAGAAUAGCACUCCUCUGGCCAUCCAUACACCACUGAUGCCAAACCAGAACAUUGAUGUCUCCCUGCCUCUCAAUACUUUGGGCCUAGUCAUGAAGAUGACUGAAUAACCUGCAGGUGGCUGUGAAAAACAAUAUUGAUGUCUUCUACUUCAGUCACCUCACCCCACCUCACCCCAAUCAGUGUGCUUUUUAGAAGAUGGCAAAAUGGAGCACCAGGUCUUUCUUGCAACAGGGAAGGAUAUUCCCAAUGAAAUGAACUUCAGUUUUAGAUUAACGAAUGUCAUUUAAAUGCUGACAUUGUUUCCAGCAAGUUGCAAAACAAUAAUGUUUAUACUAUUGCCAAGAGUAAUGUGGAAGGGCAGGACAUGGUGUACCAAUCCCUGAAGCUCACUAAUGGCAUUUGGAUUUUGGCUGAGCUAUGUAUCCACCCAGGAAACCCCCAUUAUAUGCUGUCACUGAAGUGCAGAGCUCCUGAAGUCUCCCAAUACAUAUCAAGUCUAG